AGGUGUGUAACUAACACCCUCUUUCUUAGUCUGGAUCGACAAAAGUCGAAAAGCCGAAAUGCUGAAAACUGGUAUUUUGUAUAUUUGCGAGUGUGCGAAUGCUCGUGAGGAAAUCCCCAACCAUAGUGGGCUUGGAGCUGUGAGGGAAUUCGGAGUGGCCACCCAUUCUGAAAGUUUGAUUUUCUUCUAGUGAACUGGACAUCAUUUUAUUUACGUUUGAAGUUUUGGGUUUUUAAAUGUAAUAAGGCCGUUUAAUUAUUUUUUAUGGUUUUAGUAUGUAUUACUAAGAUAGGUAUUACUUAUUUUAA